rnacentral:miRNA from 1 species
UGGGUGGAAGAGGAGCUGCAGU